GAACCAAUAGCACAAUGUCAGUGCGCCCGCAUGAAUUCGACAGCUUCUCGAAGUCAUUCAGCGGUUGAUCCCCGUUCGAUUCGGGGUUGGGUCA